rnacentral:rRNA from 1 species
UACGUAGGGGGCUAGCGUUGUCCGGAUUUAUUGGGCGUAAAGGGCGCGUAGGCGGCCUGUUAAGUCGAACGUGAAAUCCCCGGGCUCAACCCGGGAACUGCGUCCGAUACUGGCAGGCUUGAAUCCGGGAGAGGGAUGCGGAAUUCCAGGUGUAGCGGUGAAAUGCGUAGAUAUCUGGAGGAACACCGGUGGCGAAGGCGGCAUCCUGGACCGGCAUUGACGCUGAGGCGCGAAAGCCCAGGGGAGCAAACGGG